CUGCGUAUAGCCAAGGAACCAUUUCUUAUUUUGGUUAAAUUGAUGUUAAAGUACUAAAAUAAAUUACAACCUUAAAAAGCUUUUUCAUUACUCGAAAUAAAAUGAACAUUAACCAAAAAAAACCCUUUUUCUUCCUCAGAAUGUGAGCAGGGCACGUUUGGUCUGAAGUGCUCUCGGUCAUGUGACUGUGCGGAGGACACCGCGUGUGACCCGGUGAGCGGCAGCUGUGUCUGUGCCUCAGGAAAGACGGGUGUCCGGUGUGACAGCGGUGAGUCCAGUAACACCACUGCACGUGAUGUUCAUGAUUAUAUGCGUGUGUAAUGCAUGCUGUUGUGUGUCAGACUGCAGUGUGACGCGGUUCGGACCUGACUGUGCGCUCAGCUGUGAGUGUGAGAACGGCGCUCAGUGCGACCGCAGAAACGGACGCUGCCUGUGUCUCAGCGGCUGGAUCGGCCUCACGUGCUCACAACGGGACCCUCCAGAGGUGGACUCCAGACAUCUAGAGGAGAAUCAGUCCCAGCUCGACACCUCAUAACGCUAACAUUCACACUGAGCAGCUGCAGCGGGACACAAACACACAGAUGCACUUUACUCUCCCCGACUGCUCCUCACAGCUCAGACUCGAUCCUUCAUCGCGCUUUCAGGGGAUUUUCAUAUUGUCUGUGUUUCAGUACUGUUGUCAGAUUCACUUUUGACUCAACAAGACAAAAAGUGCCUUUGGAUUUCAUAACACUCUUGUUUACGCCGCUGGAUUGUAGCUAAUACUAAAGGGUUAGUUCACCCAAAAAUUAAAAUUAGGCUGCGUUUUACUCUCCCCCGAUGCAUCCUAGUUGUAUAUGACUAUCUUCUUUCAGACGAAUCCAGUCGGAGUUAUAUUAAAAAUUGUCUUUGAUCUUUCAAGCUUUUUAAUGCCACUCAGCGCGUGUUGCAUGCAUCAGUCCAAAAGAACUUGAAUAAAAAUCGCCCAUCUAUAAAAUAAAAAAAAAGUGUCUCACACGGCUCCGGGGGGUGAACAAAG
rnacentral:lncRNA from 1 species